AGUGAACGCUGGCGGUAGGCCUAACACAUGCAAGUCGAACGGCAGCACAGUAAGAGCUUGCUCUUACGGGUGGCGAGUGGCGGACGGGUGAGGAAUACAUCGGAAUCUACUUUUUCGUGGGGGAUAACGUAGGGAAACUUACGCUAAUACCGCAUACGACCUACGGGUGAAAGCAGGGGAUCUUCGGACCUUGCGCGAUUGAAUGAGCCGAUGUCGGAUUAGCUAGUUGGCGGGGUAAAGGCCCACCAAGGCGACGAUCCGUAGCUGGUCUGAGAGGAUGAUCAGCCACACUGGAACGGAGACACGGUCCAGACUCCUACGGGAGGCAGCAGUGGGGAAUAUUGGACAAUGGGCGCAAGCCUGAUCCAGCCAUACCGCGUGGGUGAAGAAGGCCUUCGGGUUGUAAAGCCCUUUUGUUGGGAGAGAAAAGCAGCAGGUUAAUACCCCGCUGUUCUGACGGUACCCAAAGAAUAAGCACCGGCUAACUUCGUG
rnacentral:rRNA from 1 species